rnacentral:misc_RNA from 1 species
UUAUAGCAUUCCUUGGAUAUAACCUACACUGAACCAUUGGCUAUAAAACCAUUACGACUAAAAUUCGUGCGGUGGUCCGCGUAUACCAGGUGUAAGGUCAUUAUGACGAAUAUUUAUAUUCGUCGUUCGCAGUUCGUAUGCAUAUAAAACUCUUUCAUUAAAACUCAAUGACAUAAAGGAUGACAGUCUGGUAGUAAAAUAAUGGAUUUACUGGUUAUAAUAAGGGAAUGAGUGGCGACUUUUAGAUGCUACGGCCUUUAAUAUGUCAAUGUCAUGGUCCGAAUGGGGGUUGUAUGCAGCACUCACUAUCUCAGGAUUUAUCGGAUUUUUGAUACUGCAUUUUAUCGUCAAAGUUAUUAAUGAUAAAUAUUUCAGACGCCAGACUUGAAGCCAGGUAUAUGAGGAUCCACCAAAAAGCUUCAACAAAUCAAGGAACUCAAGUGCAUUGUCCUCUAGCAGAAAUAACUGCGAGGGCCCCAAGAAUUCCUCUCGAAAACAUGCUAGAAAGGCAAAUCACUACACCGAACAAAAUAUCAUUAGUGUUCAACAAACAACAUAACUUGCAAGAGAAUAAAAAAUUGGACGACAUCAUUGAUUCAGGCAGUGAAACUACUUCAAUGAAAGUCAUAAGUAGUACGUCGUUUGGUACAAAAAGCUGUGAAUCAAUUGUAAAACCUAGUUUACUUGGUAAUAUUUAUAAUAAAAACAAUUCAGAUACAAGUGAUGUUAUAGAAGUCACUCCUAAUAAAGAAGAAGGCAUAGGUAAUGAAUCCGUGAAGAAAGAUGAAACUGAAUACAAAACAGUUAUGAAUUUAACUAAUCAAAAUAAUUAUCAGGAUUUAAAAGAAUGGAUAGUUGGUAUAGUCAAGAAAAUACCAAGUGAUGAUAAAAAGUGAUAUUUUACUGUUCCUGUUUGUUAUGAAUUUUAACAAAUGGCUAGAAUACCCUGUGCUGCUCUUUUUAUUUCAAUACAAGAAAUAAAAUGUGUUGAAUUGAAUAAAUUAAUAUUUUUCAAA